CUUUCAACAACGGAUCUCUUGGCUCUAGCAUCGAUGAAGAACGCAGCGAAAUAAGAUAAGUAGUAUGAAUUGCAGAAUUCAGUGAAUCAUCGAAUCUUUGAACGCACAUUGCGCCCUUUGGUAUUCCGGGGAGCAUGUCUGUUCGAGCGUUAUAAA
rnacentral:rRNA from 1 species